GAUGAACGCUAGCGGCAGGCUUAAUACAUGCAAGUCGUGGGGCAGCAUGAUGUAGCAAUACAUUGAUGGCGACCGGCAAACGGGUGCGGAACACGUACACAACCUUCCUUUUAGUGGGGAAUAGCCCAGAGAAAUUUGGAUUAAUACCCCAUAACAUAUAGAGAUGGCAUCAUCUUAAUAUUAAAGCUUCGGCGCUAGAAGAUGGGUGUGCGGCUGAUUAGGUAGUUGGCGGGGUAACGGCCCACCAAGCCUACGAUCAGUAGCUGAUGUGAGAGCAUGAUCAGCCACACGGGCACUGAGACACGGGCCCGACUCCUACGGGAGGCAGCAGUAAGGAAUAUUGGACAAUGGACGAAAGUCUGAUCCAGCCAUGCCGCGUGAAGGAUUAAGGUCCUCUGGAUUGUAAACUUCUUUUAUUUGGGACGAAAAAAGAUCAUUCUUGAUCACUUGACGGUACCAGAUGAAUAAGCACCGGCUAACUCCGUGCCAGCCGCCGCCGUAA
rnacentral:rRNA from 1 species